GAAUAUUGGACAAUGGGCGCAAGCCUGAUCCAGCCAUGCCGCGUGAAGGAUGACUGCCCUAUGGGUUGUAAACUUCUUUUAUGUAGGAAGAAACCCCUUCUCGUGAGAAGGGCUGACGGUACUACAAGAAUAAGGACCGGCUAACUCCGUGCCAGCAGCCGCGGUAAUACGGAGGGUCCAAGCGUUAUCCGGAUUUAUUGGGUUUAAAGGGUGCGUAGGCGGGAAAUUAAGUCAGUGGUGAAAUCCCUCAGCUCAACUGAGGAACUGCCAUUGAAACUGAUUUUCUUGAAUAUGAUUGAAGUGGGCGGAAUAUGACAUGUAGCGGUGAAAUGCCUAGAUAUGUCAUAGAACACCGAUAGCGAAGGCAGCUCACUAAGUCAUCAUUGACGCUGAGGCACGAAAGCGUGGGGAGCGAACAGG
rnacentral:rRNA from 1 species